GAAAAGACUAGUGUGAGCUUCCAAACAUCACUCCUCUUUUCUCUCUGAAGGCCCUGUGAAGACGGGACACAGUCUAGUGCCUGUUGUGGCCAGGAACCUUUGCUGUGGUUCUGUCCGUCCAGAGACCUGCCUCGUGAAGCCCCAGUUCCUGAGAAACAAGAGGAAAUUCACUCACCCAGCUCUACUCACAGACCCUUAGUUCACAUUUGUGGGAUCUUUAGUUUUCCUCUUUUCGAAGUAACCAGUUUUCUCCCUCCUGACCUGAGGGGACACUUCUUCCCCAUUGUGGCUUUCACAAUCAGUGCAGUGCCAGGACUUGAGGAACAGUGUUCCCUCAGGUGCCUGCUCACAGGACUGCCUUCAGAUGCCUCACCAUUCCACCGAACCUUCUGAGGUCUCUAAACCGCAGGCUUUGAAGAGGGAGACUUACCAGGGCGGUUUGUGAAGGUAAUGAUGUAAUACUUUCUCUGGUGAAAUAGCCCAUGCUUGGGAGGUGAUGUUCAAACCUGCCCUGGCAGCAAAAGAAAGUGGAGGCCUGUGCUUACUCUUUUCCGUGAAACACCCAUGUUCUCAGACUUCUUCCUUAAGAUCUGCCUUUGGUUCCCUCUGGUGUCUGACACAGAAAGUGAGCUAGAGGCGCCUGCCUAUUGGAAGCUAGAGGAGCCUCUGUCUUCCAGUGAGUCCUGUUGAGUCUCCUUAGACACAGCCCAGUCAGAUGCAUAGCUUACCAAUCACAGCUCAGGUUAAUCAACAUUGCCGACUUCCAUUCACCUCAGAGUUUAUCCUUCCCGUCUCUACUUCCUCUCUGAACGCUAUUGCUGCUGUGCCCUGCACCUUAGGUGUGGCACCCACUCUUUAAAAGUUGAGAUUCUUUGUCUACUACUGUAGAAACUUAUUAAAAUGUCUACAUAUGUCAAUGGGUGGGGUAAAUGCAAUGACUCUAUAAGGGAGUGUGUAAGUCGUCAUUGACUACCAAAGAAAAAGUCCAAGAACGUUCUUUUUGUGUUAUUGGGACGUUGGGUUCCAUAGAUCUCCCUCAAAUGUUACGUGCUAUUGCCACUGCUCUUUGUUACCCUCCAGAACUUGCUGGGAAGGCUGUAUUGUUGAAAAUACCAUGAACCUGAAUCAUAUGACAUGGGGAUUGAGGAAUAGUCCUGACCUCGAAAACCUCCCAGCUACUCAUUGCCUUUCUCAUGUAAGCGAAUGAUGAAGUGUCUCAGGUCAGAAGUGUGUGCAUGCUGUCACCAUCAGGCUACAGCAGAGUGUGCCAAUCAAGGGUUACACAGCCGGACUUGGUUAAAGUAAAUGAAUCAAAAACUCCAAAGUUGUGAAUCUGGACAAAGAAUUGAGGCAUCCGAAGUGUCGACAGGAAUGGGAAGGAGGAUGACUCAGCCAUUCAAACACUGAGAAGCAAUCCAGCACCACAGAGUUAGAAUUGUCUAUCAAGGCUGCCUCCAAAGUUCUACCCUGACGAUCAGUAGGAACAAGCAAAAUGUACAAGUCAAGAAGUUGAAACUCUUCUCAGAUGACUGUGGAAGAUCAGCUACUCUACACUCAAAACCCUGCCAAGGGUCUCACACGGCCACUCUCGUGCAUAUUUGAAUACCUGGGGAUGGUUGGUUCAUAAAACAUGUUGUCCUCUUAGCUUGAAAACCACCUGCUGUUCUACCUAGAAUUUAUUUCCUUAAACAUGCUUAACAUUUUGUGAUCCAUUGAUUAAACACAUUUGAUAUCUAGUAUGUACUUCAGAACUAAGUUU